rnacentral:rRNA from 1 species
GAUUUCUGGCUUGAAACAUUUAGCCGGCCACGGUUUCGUGUGUUAGUGCUUGAUGUUCUGGCCAUCCUUCCAAUUGCUAUUCAUCUUUCUUCAUUGAUGGGUGAGUGGUAUUGGAUCUUUUACUUUGAAAAAAUUAGAGUGUUUAAAGCAGGCUUGCGCUAUGAAUACAUUAGCAUGGAAUAAUAAUUUAGGACUUUUGUUCCUGUUUUGUUGGUUUAUUGGACGGAAGUAAUGAUUGAUAGGGAUAGUUGGGGGUGCUAGUAUUCAGCGGCCAGAGGUGAAAUUCUUGGAUUCGCUGAAGACUAACUUAUGCGAAAGCAUU